rnacentral:piRNA from 1 species
UGUGACAUUUCUGGCUGGCAAUCGAAUG